GUACUCGUUUCAGCAGGACAUGUACUAAAAUUGGCACAAUAGAGAGGAGAUUAGCAUGGCCCCUGCAUAAGGAUGAUACACACAUUCGUGAAGAGUUCCAUGUUUUU
ensembl:snRNA U6 U6 spliceosomal RNA